UAAACGACGCCGUUUUGAGGCGUGGGGGGGUGUGCAAAACUAUGUCGUUUUGCUGGCCCUUUUAAACCCAUUUUUUCCCUCAUUUCAGCCCCCCAUUGUUUCAAAAAACAGCAAAGAGUCUCAUUGCUCUCUGUCCCUUUUCCUUUGGUCACCGAAGGUGUGAUUCACCUCCGCACCGGCCACCAUAAGCGGUGGUCAGAGGUGCGAAAAUGGGCUCUUUAGCCUCCAUUUAAAUGCUCUUAAAGGCUCCCUUUUUUAGCCUCGAGAAGAUCGAGAAGAGAAGACCCCUCUCCCCCCUUUUGGACUCGAGUCCGGCGAAAGAGAAAGAGGCUCCGAUGGCGCGGCCACGGAGUAAAUCGGGUAAGUUCCCUUUCCUUCUCUUUAUUUUUGUUUAUUUUCGUAUAUAUAAAACAAUAAAAAAUAGAGUAGAUGAAAUCGGAACUUAAAAUGGAAAUGGAAAAUAAAAUCAACCUUUUGUUCUUGUAUUUUUUGCUUUCUGAUUGCUAGUGUUCGUAAAAAAAAUUACAGAGAGAGAUUGUGGCUUUUAAAGCCGUUUACAAAACGGUUAAAUCUUUUCUUUUUGUCGUUUUCUCCAUUAUUUCUUCUGUCUUGCAUGUGAUCCUUUGUUUUGCAGGUGUCAGAGACGUGGGUGGCCAGGGGUUGGCUCGCUAGGAGGUGAGGCGGCACGCGUGGAUAUGGUGCGAUUGUUAUCACAAUAAAUCAUAAUUUCCGAUUUUAAUGCGUCGAAAUAAUAUAAAUUUUGUAUUCAAGUAAGAAAAAAAAUCUAUUCAUACUAUUAUUAUUGAAGAAUUUUACUUAAUUAUAUGAUGAAUUAAUCCAACCUCAAUUUAAUUGUGAAUUUAUUAAAAAAAGAUAAUUAUUUUAUAUAUUGUUACCGGAAUAAAAAAUUCGGUCUAUUCAAAUUAUGAAGAAUAAUGGAAGAGAGGAAUGCUUUUUUGUGUUAUUAGUAGAAUAAUAAGAAAAUCAAUUAAAUCCUUCUCAUAAUUAUUUUUUUCUUUGAUCACAUUAAUCACUAAACUCAAUUGAUGAGUGAAUUAGAUAUAUAAGAAUAUAUAAAUAACAAUAAUAUCGAAUAAAACAUACAACCAUAACAAUUGCUUAUGUCUCUCUACUAUUGUCCAUGUAUUAAUGGCAUGAUUAAAUAAUCUUAAACUCAUAAAAAACCAGGCCUAAUUUGCAAGAAAAGAAC
rnacentral:lncRNA from 1 species